UACGAAGGGGGCUAGCGUUGUUCGGAAUUACUGGGCGUAAAGCGCACGUAGGCGGGUUGUUAAGUCAGGGGUGAAAUCCUGGAGCUCAACUCCAGAACUGCCUUUUGAUACUGGCAGCCUAGAGACUGGAAGAGGUUAGUGGAAUUCCCAGUGUAGAGGUGAAAUUCGUAGAUAUUGGGAAGAACACCAGUGGCGAAGGCGGCUAACUGGUCCAGCACUGACGCUGAGGUGCGAAAGCGUGGGGAGCAAACAGG
rnacentral:rRNA from 1 species